rnacentral:rRNA from 1 species
UACGGAGGGUGCGAGCGUUGUUCGGAAUUACUGGGCGUAAAGGGCGUGUAGGCGGCGCGGGAAGUUAUGGGUGAAAGUUCAGGGCUCAACUCUGAAGCGGCCGGUGAUACUCUCGUGCUCGAGCACUGUAGAGGCAGGUGGAAUUCCGGGUGUAGCGGUGGAAUGCGUAGAGAUCCGGAAGAACACCGGUGGCGAAGGCGGCCUGCUGGGCAGUAGCUGACGCUGAUGCGCGACAGCGUGGGGAGCAAACAGG